rnacentral:rRNA from 1 species
AGAUUGAACGCUGGCGGAAUGCUUUACACAUGCAAGUCGAGCGGCAGCGCGGGGGCAACCUGGCGGCGAGCGGCGAACGGGUGAGUAAUGCAUCGGAACAUGUCCAUGUCGUGGGGGAUAGCCCGGCGAAAGCCGGAUUAAUACCGCAUACGCCGAGAGGGGAAAGUGGGGGACCGCAAGGCCUCACGCGAUUGGGGUUGCCGAUGUCCGAUUAGCUAGUUGGACGGGGUAAAGCCCACCAAGGCGAUGAUCGGUAG